GAUGAACGCUGGCGGCGUGCCUAAUACAUGCAAGUCGAGCGAACGGACGAGAAGCUUGCUUUUCUGAUGUUAGCGGCGGACGGGUGAGUAACACGUGGAUAACCUACCUAUAAGACUGGGAUAACUUCGGGAAACCGGAGCUAAUACCGGAUAAUAUUUUGUACCGCAUGGUUCAAAAGUGAGAGACGGUCUUGCUGUCACUUAUAGAUGGAUCCGCGCUGCAUUAGCUAGUUGGUAAGGUAACGGCUUACCAAGGCAACGAUGCAUAGCCGACCUGAGAGGGUGAUCGGCCACACUGGAACUGGGACACGGUCCAGACUCCUACGGGAGGCAGCAGUGGGGAAUCUUCCGCAAUGGGCGAAAGCCUGACGGAGCAACGCCGCGUGAGUGAUGAAGGUCUUCGGAUCGUAAAACUCUGUUAUUAGGGAAGAACAUAUGUGUAAGUAACUGUGCACAUCUUGACGGUACCGAAUCAGAAAGCCACGGCUAACUACGU
rnacentral:rRNA from 1 species